AUUCUCAGAGACUUUUUCAUUAGCAUUAAAUUUACUUUCUUACUUCUGAACAUAAAAGUUUUCUUCUAAGGACUUUAUGAUGAAAUGGAACAUUCAUUUAUGCUCAGGGUUUUGAGAUAGCAGAAACAGCAGUAAAACAGGCAGCCAAGCCAUAAAAGGAAACUGGCACUCAUUUUAUUAUCAUCUAAUAAUAUAAAUACAAAUGCAGACAAGCUCUGCCUUCAAGGAACUUACCAAUUUGAGGAAUCUAACUGGUGUCCGAGAAGAUGUGUUUGACCUAUGGUGCCAGCCUUCAGUUUCUCAGAAGACAUAUGGGACCCAGAUAAAUCAGACAUUGAAUGCGCUGACGAGAGUCGCUGAGGACCCAAGAGAAAAGGCUUUUUUGGUUUGGAUUUCAUCUGUAUUUCACCACUUGAAAAUUCACUAUUGGCAUCGGGCAUAACCAACCCAGACAUCCUCUAAAGGAGGAGAUACAGAAGUUCUCUUCCCAGGCCCACUCAAAGGGUUCUGGCUCAGACCCUUUUUCCCCAUUCCUUAAGAGAGAAAAAAGACAUAUAUUUUCAAGGUAUAGACUCCCAUCAAGGCACACUGACCCUGAAAAAUGGCUGAGCUAAAAUAAAAGC
rnacentral:lncRNA from 1 species